UCAUUGAUGUAGGAAAUUCUCUGUUGUAUCUUGUCGCAAUUGCCGAUAAAAGAAACUGUGCGGACUAGCAUACUGUCGGAACAGUGGAGAUAUCUUUGGCGUUGCCACUCGAAUCUAGCAUUCAGUCUUAGAUCAAUGUUGCCAGCAGUUCCUCGCAAGCAGUUAUUCUGGUAGUGACAGUGGUUCAGGGGUGACAGGAUUCAGUUUCAUGCUCCAUUUGAUAAUAAGCAUAGGGAUCAGAUAGAAAGAUGGGUGGACUUUGCUACUGCAUCGAAGGCGAAGCAGAUUAUUUUUGAUUUCUCGACCGCCAGCGACAUAAGACCGCCAUGUAACUUCGAUUUGCGUCUUCUUGAUGAUAGUAAAAGUUUAGGCUUGCGGUCUAUAAAACUCUGCUCUGUUUCUCUAAAGGUGCCCGUGGGGUUCAAGGGUUUUCAGAACCUUAAAUGGAUUUACCUAGCAGACACAAAUAUUACUGAUGGUGGUCUUCAACAUUUGAUGUCCAACUGCAGUGUUCUAGAGUUCCUUGGAAUUGCAGGUUGUGUGAUGCUUACCACGUUGCAAACAUCUCAUCCUUCAAACACACUUAAGCAUUUACAUGUAUAUGACUGCUGUUUGCUUCAAGGGAUGGAGUUAAACUUUGGUCUGGUAAGACUUGAGUUCAGAGGUCCGCCGAUUGUGUUAUCGCCUCCUGGAACCUUGCUUCUAACAAAUAUGUGCAUAAAGUUGGAGGGUAUUUGUACUUCUCUAGAAUACUUCUUCACCAAACUUCGUGAUAAUGUGCCUCGUCUCGAGAUUCUGAAUCUAAAAUGCCAGGAGUACAAGAUGACUACAUUGCCAGGAAAGCUGCAUGAGUUUGUUUAUUUGAAGCACCUGAUAUUGGAGUUAACUUUUGAGAGCUGACAGAGAAGGAAGACUGAUAUCCUUCAACUUGCCUGCCUUCUGGUUGCUGCUCCUUGCUUAGAAAAGCUGGAAUUUCACAUGUGGCUGCGCUGGGGUCGGGAACGGUAUAGAGCCAAGGACGGGAGUCUCCGGAGCCUUCCUUCCCAGCCGCACUCCCAUCUCAGGUCGGUCGAUAUCACGGGGUUUUACGGCGAGAAGGACCAGCUGGAGCUUGCGCUCCACAUCCUCAGAGACUCCGUUGUGCUGGAGUCGAUGAAGGUAGAUCCAUGCCCUGUGGUUGCCGCUGAUGUUAACCGACUGGGGGGACUGGGGAGCAUGCAUGUUCCUCAUUUUGUGGAUGGCUAUGAAGUCGCCCUUGAGUUCCUCUGCAGCAGAGACCGCCGCAAUGUUGUCCAUGUCGUGGAGCCUCUCGCCGGUCUGGGGGUGCUUAGGCUCGGCGCGAGCGCCGAUAUCAGUGAGAGGGUCCGACGUGGGUCUUCCCCCCUGAGUCUGCGCAGCAGUAGCGCAAAGGCAUCCUGGCAACGUGUGAAGAGGGUGAAGCGAUUGUCGCGGCCUUCCUCCAGCCGAGGAGCUUCCUGA
rnacentral:rRNA from 1 species